rnacentral:rRNA from 1 species
GACGAACGCUGGCGGCGUGCCUAAUACAUGCAAGUCGAACGGAGCGGCGAACGGGUGAGUAACGCGUGAGUAACUGCCCCCCUCUCUGGGAUAACAGUUGGAAACGGCUGCUAAUACCGGAUAGUGGGGGAUGACUCGGGUCCUAUUAGCUUGUUGGUCGGGUAGUGGCCUACCAAGGCGACGACGGGUAGCCGGCCGGAGAGGGGGACCGGCCACAUUGGGCUGAGAGACUGCCCAAACUCCUACGGGGGGCAGGAGGGGGGAAUAUUGCACAAUGGGGGGAACCAUGAUGCAGCAACGCGCGUGCGGGAGGACGGCCUUCGGGUUGUAAACCGCUUGCAUCCAUGACGCGGUAGUGGCAGAAGAAGCACCGGCUAACUACGUGCCAGCAGCCGCGGUAAUUC